rnacentral:lncRNA from 1 species
AUACUAUGUGUGCUUCUAGUUUGAGACAUUGCCUUGCUCAGCCAUCACAGCCUUGCUAUCUUCAUAAACAUAUACUUAUUUUUAUAUAGUUAGAUAUACUGUGUCGUUCUGUCAAAAACAGCACAGCUGAAACCACUUUCCUCCCUUCCUAAUUUAGCACAUCUGCCAUGGUAACUCUGUAUUGUGGUUUGGAUGUAGUUUGCACACCACCCCUAGACCCAACUUUCAAGGCUUGGGUCUCAGGGAAAUGGUAUUGGAAGAUGCUAUAGAGCCUUUAAGGGCUUAGGCCAGGAACUGUUGCUCUUCUGUAACUAGUUCUCUCAUCUCCCUACUCAUCCUUCUCUUACACAAUGAUUGUUACAAAAUGAACACAUGUAACCCUGCCCAGCUCCUGACUGGAGAUGCAAUCCUUUACAUUAUCCUUAGAAUAUGUAAAAUGUCUUGUUUUACAUCUGAUUAAUUAUAUCAACUUUUGUUUUAGUAGUGUUCUUUUUUUUUUUUUUUUUUGGAUCCUCUGUUUUCUGAGUUCCUUUUUAUAUGCAUUUAACCUGGGCCUUUGUUUUUGUAAGUUGGAGCCUUCCCCAGUUGUCUUACACUCCAUGACUUGGCUUUCUGUUAGGGAGUGACUAUCCAGCAUGCUGAUGGAAAGCUCUAGCCAUGUGGUUAAGACUGGCUUCCAAUUGAAGUCUGAGUGCAGGCCUAUUAGGGUCAGAAACUCAAGUGUGUAUAUGAUCACUAAAAGCCUUUUAACUUAGACACACAUCUCUAGAAACAAUAACAACAACGAAAGUCUUGUCUAAGCAAACAGAGGAGAGAAUAAGUAUAUACCAACCAUCCUAGGCAAAGAGGAUCAAGACAGCGCUCAACAUCUGCCACUCUGAUUUCUUUUCUUUUAUACUCUGUUUUCCAGUGUCAGGCUCUACUCUUAUCCUUAUUCCUCCUCCCCUCUUUAAUGCUCCCUACACCCUUUAAGCAAGAAGAGAGUGGUGGUUUGAAUAUGCUUGGCCCAGAGAGUGGCACUGUUAGAUGGUGUGGCCUUGUUGGAGGAACUGUGUCACUGUGGGUGUGGGCUUUAAGACACUCCUCCUAGCUGCCUGGAAGUCAGUCUUCUCCUAGAAGCCUUCAGAUGAAGGUAUAGAGCUCUCAGCACCUCCUGCACCAUGCCUGCCUGGAUUCUGCCAUGCUCCCACCUUUAUGAUAAUGGGCUGAACCUCUGAACCUGUAAACCAGCCCCCAUUAAAUGUUGUCCUUUAUGAGAGUUGCUUUGGUCAUGGUGUCUGUUAAAGUCAUCCACACACUGCAUCUCAGGAAAGUCCUCUAGAUUUAUGCACUCUGUUUAAAGUUUCAGUUGGUCUUAAUUUCAGUUUAAUCCCUCGUCUUCUUUGCAGAGGUUCUUAAAUCCUGCUCUUAAAAUGUUGGCUGCAGACAGUAACAUUGUAGCUUCUUUCCAUUCUGUCCCAGCUCAAUCCCCAUUCAACUACUCAUUGCCAUCUCUGCUGAGCCCACUCCCCUGUUGCCAUGCCUUUAAAACACCCCUUUCCUGUCCUAAAGAGCACAGAUAUACAUGAAUAUCCAUUCAAUUAUAUUUAAACUAGAAGUGGAUGUGUGUUUUGCUUAGCCAUCUCACAGGAGACUCUGCACGGUCACCUUGAAUACAGAUUCCUUUAUAAACCAGGAUUUAUUUAGUAUCUGGCUGGGAACUUCAACAAAACUGGCUGUGUCAAUGAAAACUUAAAAAAUGAAGUCAUAGCUUGAAAAAAAAUUCUCUUGUCCUAUGGAAAUGUACAGAAUGCAAAGCAAGUGGUGACUCAGCUCUUCCAUUUCAUAUGGCUGGAGAGACGGUUCUUCUUACCCAAAAUGCCACUUUAAAAGUUGUCAGUGUGUGUCUUCUGAGAGCCAAUUAACUUGAGAAUUAGAAAGGAAAAUACACAGGUACUACUGAUGUUGCUUAAUGACUUGGAAAAUGCUAACUAAAGGUCUAGGUCCUGAAGGGGAUGGUAAUGGUCCCGAUAAAAAUUAUUGUAUUUGUGAAUUCAGUCGCAAAUCAUCCCUCUACUUUGUACCAGAAGAAGGUCCUCUGGCAGUAUGACUAGCUCUCCGAAUAGGUAAAGUAGCAAGAUAUGCUGAAUCAAGGAAUUUCUUUCAUCCUGUGGAAAGCACAGGAAAUGGUCUAUGAGGUGCUGGACCCAUGAAAAUUGCCUUCCGAAAAUGCUCGGUUUGGUUUCCCAAACAUUCCUUUUAAUACCACAUUCUU